UCUGCCUUGAAGAUCGGAGUGCUUGCACUCUGUGAAAACAAGAUACAGGCUAGCGGCGGGACGGGUGAGUAACACGUGGGUAAACCUGCCCAAGAGAUCGGGGAUAACACCUGGGAAACAGAUGCUAAUACCCGGAUAACAACAGAUGAUGCCUAUCAACUGUUUAAAGAUGGUUCUGCUAUCACUCUUGGGAUGGACCUGCGGUGCAUUAGCUAGUUGGUAGGGGUAACGGGCCUACCCAAGGCGAUGAUGCAUAGCCCGAGUUGAGAGACUGAUCGGGCCACAUUGGGACUGAGACACGGCCCAAAACUCCUACGGGAGGCAGCAGUAGGGAAUCUUCCACAAUGGACGCAAGUCUGAUGGAGCAACGCCGCGUGAGUGAAGAAGGGUUUCGGCUCGUAAAAGCUCUGUUGUUGGUGAAGAAGGACAGGGGUAGUAACUGACCUUUGUUUGACGGUAAUCAAUUAGAAAGUCACGGCUAACUACGUGCCAGCAGCCGCGGUAAU
rnacentral:rRNA from 1 species